AAUUCGAUUGAGUUUGAUCAUGGCUCAGGACGAACGCUGGCGGCGCGCUUAACACAUGCAAGUCGAGCGAGAACCGGGGCUUCGGCCCNGGGGACAGCGGCGAACGGGUGAGUAACACGUGGGUAAUCUGCCCUCGNUUCUGGGAUAGCCCGGGGAAACCCGGAUUAAUACCGGAUAGCCUCCNCUGCUCAUGGNGGNGGAGAAAAGGNAGCUUCGGCCUCCGACCGAGGAGGAGCCUGCGGCGGAUUAGCUUGUUGGCGGGGUAACGGCCCACCAAGGCGACGAUCCGUAGCCGGUCUGAGAGGACGAUCAGCCACACUGGGACUGAGACACGGCCCAGACUCCUACGGGAGGCAGCAGUGGGGAAUCUUGCGCAAUGGGCGAAAGCCUGACGCAGCGACGCCGCGUGAGGGAAGAAGGCCUUCGGGUUGUAAACCUCUUUCAGGAGGGACGAAGCCACUCGGGUUAAUAGC
rnacentral:rRNA from 1 species